CUGUAAUUCAGUGGUUGUCGUUUGUUUAUGUGUUAUACAUAUUGUUUUUCGUUCAUUUUUUAAAAAUAAAUAAGGCCGUUAGAUUUCUCGUUUGAAUUCUUUUACACGGUGACCUAUAGUUGUGUCUGUGUCAUUUUGGUCUUUUGUGGAUAGUUGUCUCAUUGGCAAUCAUACCACAUCUUCUUUUUUAUAAUGUCUAUUGUUUGAUUCCAUUUUGACCUCUUUCAUUGAUUGGUUGCUGUCUUGUCAAUAAAGGCCUCUUAACCUUUACUUUUACAAGAUGCAUUCUUUGUUUUUAGUGUCUUGUUUACUAUAAAAAGACAAGAUAUUAUGAUAUUUUGAAUGUGGAAUAUAUGAUAUCUGUUAAUUAUCUCCCCCUGUCAGAGUUUAAAUUCUACAUUCAAUGAUCGCAAGGACUGGACAAUUAUGAAAUAAAUAUCGAUAAUAGACAUUAAAGAUGUUAAAACUGAAAAUAUAAAUGAAAUAAACACAACACAUUAUAGCACACUUGUCUAUUGUUAAAUACCAUUUUGACUUCUUUUGUUGAUUGUUUGCUGUCUCAUUGACA
rnacentral:lncRNA from 1 species